AAUAUUGGACAAUGGGCGAAAGCCUGAUCCAGCCAUGCCGCGUGAGUGAUGAAGGNCCNNGGGUUNUNAAGCUCUUUCAGUGGNNNNNAUAAUGACGGUCACCACAGAAGAAGCCCCGGCUAACUUCGUGCCAGCAGCCGCGGUAAUACGAAGGGGGCUAGCGUUGUUCGGAUUUACUGGGCGUAAAGCGCACGUAGGCGGAUUGUUAAGUUAGAGGUGAAAUCCCGGGGCUCAACCCCGGAACUGCCUUUGAUACUGGCAAUCUCGAGUCCGGAAGAGGUGAGUGGAAUUCCGAGUGUAGAGGUGAAAUUCGUAGAUAUUCGGAGGAACACCAGUGGCGAAGGCGGCUCACUGGUCCGGUACUGACGCUGAGGUGCGAAAGCGUGGGGAGCAAACAGG
rnacentral:rRNA from 1 species